UCAUGGCUCAGGAUGAACGCUGGCGGCGUGCCUAACACAUGCAAGUCGAGCGAACCCUUCGGGGUGAGCGGCGGACGGGUGAGUAACGCGUGGGUAACCUGCCCUGUACACACGGAUAACAUACCGAAAGGUAUGCUAAUACGAGAUAAUAUAUUUUAAUCGCAUGGUUAAGAUAUCAAAGCUCCGGCGGUACAGGAUGGACCCGCGUCUGAUUAGCUAGUUGGUGAGGUAAUGGCUCACCAAGGCGACGAUCAGUAGCCGACCUGAGAGGGUGAUCGGCCACACUGGAACUGAGACACGGUCCAGACUCCUACGGGAGGCAGCAGUGGGGAAUAUUGCACAAUGGGCGAAAGCCUGAUGCAGCAACGCCGCGUGAGCGAUGAAGGCCUUCGGGUCGUAAAGCUCUGUCCUCAAGGAAGAUAAUGACGGUACUUGAGGAGGAAGCCCCGGCUAACUACGUGCCAGCAGCCGCGGUAAUACGUAGGGGGCUAGCGUUAUCCGGAAUUACUGGGCGUAAAGGGUGCGUAGGCGGUCUUUCAAGCCAGAAGUGAAAGGCUACGGCUCAACCGUAGUAAGCUUUUGGAACUGUAAGACUUGAGUGCAGGAGAGGAGAGUGGAAUUCCUAGUGUAGCGGUGAAAUGCGUAGAUAUUAGGAGGAACACCAGUAGCGAAGGCGGCUCUCUGGACUGUAACUGACGCUGAGGCACGAAAGCGUGGGGAGCAAACAGGAUUAGAUACCCUGGUAGUCCACGCCGUAAACGAUGAGUACUAGUGUCGGGGGUUACCCCCCUCGGUGCCGCAGCUAACGCAUUAAGUACUCCGCCUGGGAAGUACGCUCGCAAGAGUGAAACUCAAAGGAAUUGACGGGGACCCGC
rnacentral:rRNA from 1 species